UCCUGCAUUACAUACUGUAACGAAAAGUUACGCAUUUAUCAAACAGCUUUAACAUGUUACAUAACAAUAUCAAGUGUAUUAUUCAAGUUCAGUGCUAGUCCCAUACGAACAAUGUUAUCUGUGGAUCGCAAACAGAGCUGUAUUUGAAGAAGACCAUAUCAAAAAGCAGACCACCUACCUCAGGAAUGCGGUAUAACUAGACAACACUACACUAGCCGCCUCUGCCAGCAAUUAUGAUGAAAAACAAUGGUUACCAACAAACUGAAUGUCAGCCUGGAUGAGUAUCAGUUAUACAAUGGACUCUGCCAUUUUCGGAAUGAAUAUGCUGGACUUGUUAAAAGUAGAGCAGGAGGCCAGAUUAGGGUAGAUUUCUCGAAGCAGCAAACCACAAUUGGCAUCUCCCACUCCCAACUGAUUAGUCUUAUAUCGCAGGUAUUUUCAUUUCUUAUUAAUAACUCAUAUCCUCAGUAUGACGGGUGUCAUGGCCUUAGAGAAAAUAAAACUUCAAGUAAAAGUGAUGGACAGCUGAAAGCAGCAAAGAGCAACAUCAAAUAUGCACUGAAAAAUACAGUGAUGAUGUUACUGUUGGUCAUUUUCUUUGAGAUUUUUUUAUCUCCCUCUUUUAUCUGAACUUUGAAUUUAACUUAUUAUAUUGCUUGUAAAUGUUCACUUAGAAAUUAAUUUUGUGUUUAAAUGGCAAAUUCACACAUUACAAAUAAGAAUGAAAAGAAGACAACUUUAUUUUUUAUUCUUGUGUUAAU